rnacentral:rRNA from 1 species
UGCGGGGAUGAGGUGUGGGUAGCGGAGAAAUUCCAAUCGAACUUGGAGAUAGCUGGUUCUCUCCGAAAUAGCUUUAGGGCUAGCCUCGAGGUAAAGAGUCAUGGAGGUAGAGCACUGUUUGGACUAGGGGCCCUUCUCGGGUUACCGAAUUCAGAUAAACUCCGAAUGCCAUGUACUUAUACUCGGGAGUCAGACUGCGAGUGAUAAGAUCCGUAGUCGAAAGGGAAACAGCCCAGACCACCAGUUAAGGUCCCCAAAUAUAUGUUAAGUGGAAAAGGAUGUGGGGUUGCUUAGACAACCAGGAUGUUGGCUUAGAAGCAGCCACCAUUGAAAGAGUGCGUAAUAGCUCACUGGUCGAGUGACCCCGCGCCGAAAAUGUACCGGGGCUAAACAUAUUACCGAAACUGUGGAUGAACCUCUUUAGAGGUUCGUGGUAGGAGAGCGUUCUAAGGGCGGUGAAGUCAGACCGGAAGGACUGGUGGAGCGCUUAGAAGUGAGAAUGCCGGUAUGAGUAGCGAAAGAAGGGUGAGAAUCCCUUCCACCGAAUAUCUAAGGUUUCCUGAGGAAGGCUCGUCCGCUCAGGGUUAGUCGGGACCUAAGCCGAGGCCGAUAGGCGUAGGCGAUGGACAACAGGUAGAGAUUCCUGUACCAGUGCUAAUUGUUUAACCGAUGGGGUGACACAGAAGGAUAGGGAAUCGCACGAAUGGAAAUGUGCGUCCAAGCAGUGAGUGUGAGAAGUAGGCAAAUCCGCUUCUCGCGAAGCAUGAGCUGUGAUGGGGAAGGAAAUUAAGUACGGAAGUUCCUGAUUUCACGCUGUCAAGAAAAGCCUCUAGGAAGAGUAGUACUGCCCGUACCGCAAACCGACACAGGUAGAUGAGGAGAGAAUCCUAAGGUGAGCGAGAGAACUCUCGUUAAGGAACUCGGCAAAAUGACCCCGUAACUUCGGGAGAAGGGGUGCUCUAUUAGGGUGCAAGCCCGAGAGAGCCGCAGUGAAUAGGCCCAGGCGACUGUUUAGCAAAAACACAGGUCUCUGCAAAACCGUAAGGUGACGUAUAGGGGCUGACGCCUGCCCGGUGCUGGAAGGUUAAGAGGAGUGCUUAGCUUCGGCGAAGGUACGAAUUGAAGCCCCAGUAAACGGCGGCCGUAACUAUAACGGUCCUAAGGUAGCGAAAUUCCUUGUCGGGUAAGUUCCGACCCGCACGAAAGGCGCAACGAUCUGGGCACUGUCUCAACGAGAGACUCGGUGAAAUUAUAGUACCUGUGAAGAUGCAGGUUACCCGCGACAGGACGGAAAGACCCCGUGGAGCUUUACUGCAACCUGAUAUGGAAUGUUUGUACCGCUUGUACAGGAUAGGUAGGAGCCGAAGAGACGUGUGCGCUAGCAUACGAGGAGGCAAUGGUGGGAUACUACCCUGGCUGUAUGACCAUUCUAACCCGCCACGCUUAGCGCGUGGGGAGACAGUGUCAGGUGGGCAGUUUGACUGGGGCGGUCGCCUCCUAAAGAGUAACGGAGGCGCCCAAAGGUUCCCUCAGAAUGGAUGGAAAUCAUUCGCAGAGUGUAAAGGCACAAGGGAGCUUGACUGCGAGACUGACAAGUCGAGCAGGGACGAAAGUCGGGCUUAGUGAUCCGGUGGUUCCGCAUGGAAGGGCCAUCGCUCAACGGAUAAAAGCUACCCCGGGGAUAACAGGCUUAUCUCCCCCAAGAGUCCACAUCGACGGGGAGGUUUGGCACCUCGAUGUCGGCUCGUCGCAUCCUGGGGCUGUAGUCGGUCCCAAGGGUUGGGCUGUUCGCCCAUUAAAGCGGCACGCGAGCUGGGUUCAGAACGUCGUGAGACAGUUCGGUCCCUAUCCGUCGCGGGCGCAGGAAAUUUGAGAGGAGCUGUCCUUAGUACGAGAGGACCGGGAUGGACACACCGCUGGUGUACCAGUUGUUCCGCCAGGAGCAUCGCUGGGUAGCUAUGUGUGGCAGGGAUAAACGCUGAAAGCAUCUAAGCGUGAAGCCCCCCUCAAGAUGAGAUUUCCCAUUUCUUCGGAAAGUAAGAUCCCUGAAAGAUGAUCAGGUAGAUAGGUUUGGAGUGGAAGUGUAGCGAUACAUGGAGCGGACAAAUACUAAUCGAUCGAGGACUUAACCAA